rnacentral:rRNA from 1 species
GAUGAACGCUAGCGGCAGGCCUAACACAUGCAAGUCGAGGGGCAGCGCGAUGUAGCAAUACAUUGGCGGCGACCGGCGCACGGGUGCGUAACACGUAUGGAACCUGCCCUAUACUGGGAGAUAACCCGGAGAAAUUCGGACUAAUAUCCCAUAACAAACGAGGUGGCAUCACCUUGUUUUGAAAGCUCCGGCGGUAUAGGAUGGCCAUGCGUCCCAUUAGCUAGUUGGUAAGGUAAUGGCUUACCAAGGCUACGAUGGGUAGGGGGCCUGAGAGGGUUAUCCCCCACACUGGUACUGAGACACGGACCAGACUCCUACGGGAGGCAGCAGUGAGGAAUAUUGCGCAAUGGAGGCAACUCUGACGCAGCCAUGCCGCGUGCAGGAAGAAGGCCCUACGGGUUGUAAACUGCUUUUAACCGGGAAGAAACCCCUUUACGUGUAGAGGGUUGACGGUACCGGAGGAAUAAGCACCGGCUAACUUCGUG